rnacentral:lncRNA from 1 species
CCCCAUUUUUAUUUUUUUUUUUUUUUUUUUUUUUUUUUUUAUUAACUUGAGUAUUUCUUAUAUACAUUUCGAGUGUUAUUCCCUUUCCCGGUUUCCGGGCAAACAUCCCCCUCCCCCCUCCCCUUCCUUAUGGGUGUUCCCCUCCCAACCCUCCCACCAUUGCCGCCCUCCCCCCAUAGACUAGUUAACUGGGGGUUCAGUCUUAGCAGGACCCAGGGCUUCCCCUUCCUCUGGUGCUCUUACUAGGAUAUUCAUUGCUACCUAUGGGGUCAGAGUCCAGGGUCAGUCCAUGUAUAGUCUUUAGGUAGUGGCUUAGUCCCUGGAAGCUCUGGUUGCUUGGCAUUGUUGUACUUUUGGG